rnacentral:lncRNA from 1 species
GUAAGUGCCUAAUUAUCCGAUUUUGAGCCUAGUGACAACUUUAUGAGAUAGGCGAUUCCAGUUGUAGAGAGGAGCAGUGAACUAAGAGAGCUUAAAGGGCUGCCCCGGGUCACGUAGCUAGUGAGUUGCAGGGCCAAAUUUUGAAGCUAAGCACAGUACCCUCCUCGCCCUGACAAGCCACCUCUGAUCCUAACUCGGGCCUAACUAGAAUAGGCUCGAAGGGUUGACCCACCUUUAGAAGAGGUGCCUCUCAGAACCUGGAAGACAGGACUCGCUUGCUCUGUAAUGUUUCUGGUCUGGUACUGAUGGAAAAGGAGCAGCCAGAAGUGGAAGAGAAGAAAUCAGGACCCAGGGAGAGGAUGUGAUGAGUCCAGGGCCACACUGAGAGAUAUCAGACAGCCUGUGAUUUCACCAUAUGGGAACUCCUUUUCUUGCAUAUGUAGAUAAUUCCUGACAAUUGUGUUUAGUUAUUUCCUGUGUGACUCACUUUGAACAAAUCUGGUGGAAGUUAUGGUGUAUGACUUUUGAGACUAGGUCAUAAAAAGUAUUGUGGCUUCCUUCUUGCUGUCUCUCUUGGAUCACUAACCCUGGAAGAGGCCAAUUGCCAUGUUGGAAGGACACCAAAGCCACCUUAUGGAGAAAUUCACAUGCAAAGGAAUUGAGGCCUCUGGCCAACAACGGGUGAGGUGGCCUCUUGCUACCAACCAUGUGAGUGCGCAAUCUUGGAAGCAGAUGUUCCAUGGCUCGCUCACGCCUUCCGAUGACUGCAGCCCCAGCAGAUAGCCCCAGCUGAUAUCUUGACUGAAGCUUCACGGGAGACCCCGGGCCAGAACCACCUAGCCAAGUCACUCCAGAAUUCCUGGCCCUGAGACAAUAUAAGAUGUUUGUCAUUUUAAGCUUACAACCUUUGGGGUAAUUGUUACACAGCAAUUGAUAACUAAUAAUACUAUUAAAUGUCUUAUUGUGGAAGAAAUGUUUUACGUAGAGGAAAAUAGCCAUAUUUUUACAGUUGGGAUUAAUAAUUUGAUAAAAAAAUGAAUAAAACACUUUAUGCUUUACCAUUUACUGGGCAGCUGAUUUUGCUAAAUCUCAUCCAGGACCAGUUAAGAUCCUUAAAAACUG